AAAAUAACUGGAAACAUGCUUAGAGGCACCGGAAAGAUUCAGGCGACGUAAGCGACGUGGCUACUGAAGAGGCACUUCCCCUCGAACAAUCGUAAACGACAGUACGACGGGGAGCCAAGCCGCGAAGAGUAAAAGACGACAGAGGGACAUGGCAAAGACAAUCGGACGGACAGUACCCGGCGAUGUUGCGCGGAAGAUUUACACUUGCUGAAAGGGCGGCCACCACGCUUCUGCAA
ensembl:ncRNA C30B5.10 ncRNA